rnacentral:rRNA from 1 species
CCUACGGGUGACAGCAGUGAGGAAUAUUGGUCAAUGGGCUUACGCCUGAACCAGCCAAGUCGCGUGAGGGAAGACUGCCCUAUGGGUUGUAAACCUCUUUUGUCAGGGAGCAAUUGGCGCUACGUGUAGCGUUAUCGCGAGUACCUGAAGAAAAAGCAUCGGCUAACUCCGUGCCAGCAGCCGCGGUAAUACGGAGGAUGCGAGCGUUAUCCGGAUUUAUUGGGUUUAAGGGGUGCGUAGGCGGAAUGCCAAGUCAGCGGUAAAAUCGCGGGGCUCAACCUCGCUCCGCCGUUGAAACUGGCGGUCUUGAGUGGGCGAGAAGUAUGCGGAAUGCGUGGUGUAGCGGUGAAAUGCAUAGAUAUCACGCAGAACUCCGAUUGCGAAGGCAGCAUACCGGCGCCCAACUGACGCUGAAGCACGAAAGCGUGGGUAUCGAACAGGAUUAGAUACCCUAGUAGUC